rnacentral:rRNA from 1 species
UACGUAGGGUGCAAGCGUUGUCCGGAAUUAUUGGGCGUAAAGAGCUCGUAGGCGGUCUGUCGCGUCGGAUGUGAAAAUCCAGGGCUCAACCCUGGACCUGCAUUCGAUACGGGCAGACUAGAGUUCGGUAGGGGAGACUGGAAUUCCUGGUGUAGCGGUGAAAUGCGCAGAUAUCAGGAGGAACACCGGUGGCGAAGGCGGCGACCUGGUUCGAUACUGACACUGAGGUGCGAAAGCGUGGGGAGCAAACAGG